rnacentral:lncRNA from 1 species
AAUUUCUGCCCAUUUUCCCCCCAAUUUACCCCCCAUUUUCCCCACAUUUACACCUUUUUACCGUUUCCCCCAUUCUUGCCCUUUUACCCCCAUUUAUGCCCAUUUUUCACCCCAUUUCCACCCAUUUCAUGCCCAUUUUCCCCCCAUUUACCCCCUUUUUAACCCCAUUUAUGCCCAUUUUCCCCCCAUUUCCCCCUUUUUACCUCCUUUAUGCCCUUCCCCCCAUUUACCCCUUUAUGCCCAUUUAUCCCCCUAUUUCCCCCUAUUUCCCCCCCUUUACCCCCUUUUUACCCAUUUUACCCCCAUUUCCGCCCUUUUUAAACCCUAUAGGAACCCUAUGGAAACCCUAUAGGAACCAUAUAGGAACCCUAUAGGAACCCUAUAGAAACCCUAUAGGAACCCUAUAGAAACCAUAUAGACACCCUAUAGGAACCCUAUAGAAACUGUAUAGGAACCCUAUAGAAACCCUAUAGAAACGCUAUAGGAACCCUAUAGGAACCCUAUAGAAACCCUAUAGAUCCCCAUAUAUAGAAACCCUAUAGAAACCCUAUAGGAAUCCUAUAGACACCCUAUAAAGACCCUAUAGAUCCCCAUAUAGAAACCCUAUAGAAGCCAUAUAGAUCCCCUUAUAGAAACCCUAUAGGAACCCUAUAGAUCCCCUUAUAGAAACCCUAUAGAUCCCCAUAUAGAAACCCUAUAGACACCCUAUAGACACCCUAUAAAGACCCCAUAGAUCCCCAUAUAGAAACCCUAUAGAUCCCCCUAUAGAAACCCUAUAGAAAUCCUAUAGGUCCCCAUAUAGAAACCCUAUAGAUCCCCCAUAUAGAAGCCCUAUAGAUCCCCAUAUAGAAACCCUAUAGAUCCCCAUAUAGAAACCCUAUAGAGCCCCCCAUAUAUGAAUCCUAUAGACCCCCCAUAUAUAAGUCUUAUAGUCUUCAUAUAAGCUCUAUAGGCCUCCCCCUAUACACCAGCCCUACAUAUACCCCAUAUAGAAACUCAAUAGACCCUUCUCAUGUAUAAACCCUAUUGAGUCCCAUAUAGAAACCCUAUUGAGUCCCAUAUAGAAACCCUAUAGAUGCCCCCCAUAUAUAACUCUUAUAGUCUUUAUCCCCAUAUAAGCUCUAUAGGCCUCCCCCCAUAUACCAGCCCUACAUAUACCCCAUAUAUAAACCCAAUAGACUCAUGUAUAAACCCUAUAGACCUUCCCCCAUAUAUAAACCCUAUAGACCCCCCAUAUACAAACCCUAUAGACCCCCCAUAUACAAACCCUAUAGACCCCCCAUAUACAAACCCUAUAGACCCCCCAUAUAUAACCCUAUGGACCCCAUAAUAGAAACCCUAUAGAUCCCUAUAGAAACUCUCUAGAUCCCCCUA